CUUUUGCCCUGUGUGCUAGGACACACAUUUUGGAGACCAGCUCAGAAAUCCUACUACCUUGAGGAUGCCAGGCCACAAAGAAGGCCAGAUAAGGUGGAUGGAGUACUGGAUUGACAGCCCCAGCUGAGAUCCUGGCCAACAGCCAACGUAAACCGCUAGAUCAUCAAGCACACACAUGAGAUACAGAGACGUUUGCCAGAGAGAAGAGGCCCACUCACUCGAACCACCGAGUAGAAUAAUCCCUCCCACCUCAACAACAAACAAAAACUACAAGGUUUCUCUUGGCGGCUCAACCUCUCCAAGUCUCAACAUACAGUCACCAACCCACUCCGAUGUCCCCUUUGUAGGUGUAUGUACCCACUCCUUUACUAUCGAUACGGCAUCACCACCGAAUACACACAUCAGACUGGACGGCGUAGACAAAAUCCAGGUAAUGUGUGUCCACAGGGAAAGCUGGGGCACGCACCCUUCCAUGAGGGCUGUCAACCUUUCUCUGCCCCCAGAGCUGAGAAGCGGUUCCAGCUCAGACAAGCUCGCCUCUCUCUGCUGCCUGGCGCCCUGUUGACAGGGAUUACAGAAAACAAACAGACAAUGACAUUCAACUAAAGCCAAAUUCCAAAUUUGUGAGGCUGCCAAGAGCUCGCUUGCCUCCCGAUCUGAUAAACCUCCUUUGCAAGCCCGACGGAGGGGGCUGUAACACCCUUAUACCCAAGGACUGGAUGGUGAUGCCUGCUUUCAAAGAGUUCCCACCCCACGUUAGGGUCGUGGGCUUGCGUGAGAAUAAACUGACAGACAAGAGCGAUGCUCACAGGGUUCUUGGAAGCAGCUGUGAGGCGGAGGCCACGCUGUCCCCAGUCUCUGUCCUUGGGCAACCGUGUGACACACACAACCCCCUUGCACCAGGAGGACACUCGGCCUCUACCCCUGCCUCCAGGAGUUCUCCAGCUGUUCCACCGUGCAGUCAAAUGGCUUUUGUGCAACCCCUCCUCUCCACGCACCCUCUUUGCCCCACUCUUGAAAGCUCCGAAAAUGCUCAGCCAGCGUCUGGGACCCCAACUCUCUCAUUGAAGGCCCUCUGAAUGUCAACUCACCCACCACUAGAUGCCCUCUGUGUUGGCUGGUAUCUUUGUCUGACCACCUGGGUCUUCCUGUCUUGGGGUAAUAGAAGCACACACUCAGCGGUGGGCAUGUGACCUGGACCAGGUCACUUCAGUACCUGUCAGUACUUCCCUGUCCAGACGGACCACGCAGACGGGGGUGUGCUGAGGAAUGUUUAAUAACCAGGUCACGGGGCGGGGGGUGGGGGGUGUGCAGAAAGCCUCAACAUACAGCUUUGCCAACCUCAAGCUGUCAAUUUGUACAUUGGACGAGGAGUUAUAUUAAAGCAUUUGUAACAUACUCCUAAGGUCGACUAAAUAACCUUCAGAAGAGAUGUAAUAAUAAAAAAAAAGAAAGGAAGAGACGUAAUACU